GCUAGGCUCCUUUGUCCAUGGAAUUCUCCAGGCAAGAAUUCUGGAGUGGGUUGCCCUUCUCCCAGUCCAGGGAUCGAACCCAGGUGUCCUGCAACUGCAGGCAGACUUUUUACUGUCUGAGCCGCUGGGGAAGCCUUUUCUUACUGUGCCAUCUGUCACCCUAUCAAAUUGUCAGACACACAUUAUACUAGUUUGUUACAUUUUUCUCCGUGUCCCAUACCUUCACCCCAGGGUUUCUUUUUUUUUUAAAUUUAUUUAUGAUUUUUGGCUGGGCUGGGUCUUUUUUGUUGUGUGGGCUUUUCUCUAGUUGUGGCAAGUUGGGGCUACUCUCGUUGCAUUGCUCAGGCUUCUCGUUGCGGGGCACUGGCUCGAGGGCAUAUGGUUUCCCAGUAGUUGCGGCUCCCAGGCUCAGAAGCACAGGCUCCGUAGCUGUGGUGCGCGGGCUUAGUUACUCUGAGGCAUGUGGGAUCUUACCGGACCAGGGAUCGAACCCGUGUCUCCUGCAUUGGCAGGAGGAUUCUUUACCACUGAGCCACCAGGGAAGCCCCACCCUAGGCUUUCUUGAGAUUGAGAAUCAUAUUUUCAUAGCUGAAAUCUGUGCUUGGUACAUAAUUUCAUAAAUUAUGAAAUUUCUUUUUACCAAAAAAAAAUGCUUUUUUAUAGUGAAUGAAUAUAUUCAAUCAUGGGUUUUUUAAAGAUUUAAUGUUACACAUUUUGAUGUUCAGAAUUUCCUGAUAUGGCCAGAGGGGUGCUCUUUCAAGCUGGUUUCUUAGUCCUUUUGGUAUGUGACAGUAAUUUUUUGUGCCCUUGCUUAUUUUUUGACACAGGAUAAUAUACUCAGUUCAUCGUAUGAUUUUCUUAGAGCUGUGGUUUCUUUUAGUAGAUGAAAUUUGGAUGCAAACAUUGACCCUAGAUUUUCACAUUGAUACUGGCUUGUCAUUGCUUCUAGGUAUUUUCAGUGGACUAUGAAAUAUUUAUCCCGGUCUUCUCCUACACUGAUGAAAUGGGCUCUUAUUCAGUAUAUACUUGACCCUUGAACAAUGCGGGGGCUAGGGGGGCCUGCCCUCCUGAUGUUGAGAAGCCACGUAAAAUAUAGUUGGCUCUCCCUAUAUGCAGAUCCAGUCUGUGGUUCCACGUCCAGGAUUCAAUCAACUGUGGGCCAUGUAGUACUGUAGCAGCUACUGUUGAAAAACCUGUAUAAGUGGACUUGCCCAGUUGAAACCUGUGUUGUUUAAGGGUAUUUUACUCACUUGCUUAGUCCUACAAUAAACACCAAUGUCAGAGAUACUAUAGCUUUAUCAACAUCAAACCUUCUAAAGUUCAAGACUUUUUUGUAAUUGUUUCUAAACAGAAGAUACAUGGUUAUUUGGAUUAGUAACUUUGAGUGGUUAUCAUUUUUAAAGAAUCAGUCCUUUAUGUCUGUAGACCACUUUAUAGAGUUUUUUCCCCUACCCUUGUUGAUUUUAUUUUUCUGAGUAUGUAAACUAUGAAGUUAUACCAGAAAUGGUGAUUUUAAGUGAUUCCAACAUGAAGAUUAAAGCAUGGGUGUGUUUCUCUGAGGUGAGAAUUCUGAAUCCUCCAAUCCCUGAUGACUUUGUUCCCGACUCUUAGCUCCAAAGGUCUGUAAGCCCUGCUUGAUUGUAUCAUUUUAAGCUCAACUUAACCUACAUGUGACUAUCAUCCACUUUUCCCAUUUCUGCCAGUCACCCCACCAUUCUGGAUAGAUAGGUUUAUGCCCCUAGUUAUUUUUCUUGAGCAUCUUCCCUCUGUUGGAGAAUGGGAACUCCCACUCGAGUUGGGUUCUGAGUUCUUUUACAAGUCUUCCCCCUCCUCUCGCCCAUCUCUGUGGCCUCCUGCUAAGCCAGAAAUCCAUGUCCAGAUUUUGUUGCAUUUCUAGCACUUCUAAUGAUAGCACCCUGCUCUCCAGAGUCUGCAGCCCACACAGAGGGUUCUGGAAUGUCCCUGUCCUGCCUCUAGUGAGUUUUGAGAAUACUGUCUUGCUUCAAGUAGCUCCAAUCUGCUCAUGCUCAAGGGCCUGACUUUCCCAUUAGUUCAUCUCAACUUGUAUUGAGAUGAUUCUGUCAUAACAUGUAUUUUUUAAAGCAGCUUAUGGUGUAUUUAUUCCUCACCCUCCUUUCCUUUUUAGACCUGAAACAGUUUUGUCUUCCAAGCUAGGUGAUAAGUUCCUAGUGGGUAGAGAUGUUUGGCCAGGGGUCCUUUGUAUUUCUCUUUGGCAUCAGCAGAAAGAUUAAGCUAUGGGAGCUGGGGAAGGAGUGGUGGCAGAUUCCUGGGUUUUUAGAGGCCUCCUGGCUGAGGAAGAAUCAUAUAGGUUGGCUGGUGUGUGGCUCAAUAGUUUGAAGUUGCCUGGCCAAUCCAGUUUCUGGGGUCUGCAAAUCUAGGAUUUGGCCCAUUUGAAAACCAAGCUGGUGGUGAAGGAGACACAAGGCUGUUAAGAUCUUGGCAGCUUUGUCCAGUAGACCAGCCUUUGUGGGUUACAGAGUGGCACUGAGUUCUCACGGGCUGGUGUUUAGGCAUGCCUUUCCCAACUAUGGUCUUGUUUUAGAGGAAAAUGCUCAAUCUUGUCACCAGAUUUAUUUAGUAGGUAGGUACUUCCCAUGUCCCUACUGUCUUUGUGAUCAUUUGUGUGUCCUUGGGAGUAGAAAGCUAUCCUUGUCCUCUGCAGAGCAAGGCACUUAGGAGGGCAGGGAUGGAACCUUACCUGAGUUUGGUCUGCUAUGAAGAACCUGAACAGGCACUAAGUCUUUGCUUCCCAGAAAGAUCCUGCUCCUUGUUUGAUUCUUUUCUGAGAGCAGGGCCAACAGUCAGAGCCAGGGUAGAAUCACACCUGGGUAAAGCCCUGGUCUAAUCUCAUAAGCACAAACCUUCAAGAUGAGCUGCUAGAGCCCCAACUUAAUCACCUUCCAUCUUUGGCUGCCCCAGAGUCCCCGCUGCCCAUUUAUCCCGUGUUCCUGCUGCUUCUCAUGGACAUCUCAGGCCAUCUAAUGAACACAGCCCAGAGAACACGGUGGGGCCUGUAAAGUGUAGGACAUGAUUUUGUGCAGUGACAUCUGGCAGCAGUGUCGAGAGAAACCUUCACUUUUGGCAGCCAUGUAGAACACAAGUGGUCUUUAAAGGGCAUGGUCAUGCCUAAGUGCUGGGUCUGGAUCUCAGAUGGGGGAAAGUCCCAGGCUUCAGACCAUUUGAUAAUCCAUGAAUGCCUCCUCCAACACUCAGCCCACAAGAGACUUCCUCUUGAAUGCUCACUUGGUCUAACCAGUCUUUCCCUCUCUCCGAGGAAAUCCAAUGGAUGAAAGAAAAUUGAUGAGCUAGUCCUAAAAUUCGACUUGCUUAAAAAAGUAAAGCCUCAUUGAUACAGUGAUUUGCUGUUGUUUUAACAAAUUAUCCUAAAGAGCAAAUUCUCAGUUCUUGGUUAAAAAAAAAAGAAAGCUUCAUCAUUCUGUUGAACAGGACGAGAAAUCACCUCUUUCAAGCUUUACCUAAUGGAACAAUAGGAUGACUACCACAAGCCUGAUUUUGAAUAGUUUAUUAAAGGAAAGGUGAAGCAUCAGUUUCAAAUUGUACAAAAGGAAAAAAACCUCAUAUUGCAAAUGUACAAUUUACAGAAUUACUAGCAAAACCAAUCAAGGAGACACUGAAAAUACAAAAAUUCGAUUGACUUCAAACUAAACUGGAAACCCAUUGGAGUAGAUACUAAGCCUUUUCUGUCGUGUGGUUGUCUACGAUUCUAAGUCGGCACUGGUUUUUCCACAUGAAACUGUCCAGCAAAGGACCAAUCUGUGCAGGUGCCAGGGCUGGUAUGGUGGACAGUCCAGUCAUCCCUGCCCCUUCAUGUCCAGUGAAAUCCAUAUUUCUGGAAGAAAGCGAUACCCCAGCCCCCUAAAUGGGGCCCAGGAAUUGCUAAAUUAGCAGAUAAAACAUUUUUGGUGACCAAGUUUUUCAGAACUGUACAAAUGUUGAGGAGUUUGUUUACUAAAAGGAUGAAUAAAAUAACCCAUUUUGCUUUCCCACAUCGUCACUGGGUGCACAGAUUUGUUAUUUAAAAAACGCUUUUAUUUAUUUUUUUUGGUAAAAAGGGAAAGCAAAGCCUCAUCAUUCUGUUGCAGCUACUUUAAAAACCAGCUGGGAAACAGCUGUGGUGGAUUGGUUUGCAAAUUUUGAGGCUUACUUUUAAAAUCAGAAAGGAAGAAACUAAGUGGGCUUUUUAAAAUAACAGUAGCAGCAAGUCAUAAAAGUCUAAGCAGAAUGUAACUCUAAACCAUCGAAGGCUGUCCUGAAGAUUCAUAAUAAUUUCUUUCCCCCAAAGAAUUAUCCUUAAUAUGCACAUUUAACACUGAAAUGUAGCUGUAUUUCAAGGUAAGCUUAAGAACUUCACCCUCUAAGCACAGACUUCUAUGCAGCACAUACUUCUAUAAUUGGUAAACUUAAUUCACAAAAUUAGUGCAUAAGGGUAGUAAGUGCAUGGGAAGUAGACACGGUUAUGUUACACUUAAAAUUACGUUUGAAUGGCAAAGGAGUUCAUGAUUAUCUUUUUAAGAAAAUGGAAGUCCAUGUAACUUGAAUUUGGCAGGGCAUGAAAUAAGUGGUAAAAACAGCAAACUGAUAACUUGAGAACCAUUUUUGUUUUACUGAGAAUACUUUAUUUGCUGGUAGAAGUUGCUAAAAAUGCACAGAACAAAUACCAAUAGAAAAUGUACUGUAUUUGAAUCUCCCUAUUCUAUAUAAAAUGAACGGUGUACAGCAUCUGUUGGAAAAAUGGCUGCAUGGACAUUUCUUAUUUUAUGCCCCCUUAUAAAUAAAAAUAAACCUUUUUAUUCAAGA